AUUGAACGCUGGCGGCAUGCCUUACACAUGCAAGUCGAACGGCAGCACGGGUGCUUGCACCUGGUGGCGAGUGGCGAACGGGUGAGUAAUACAUCGGAACAUGUCCUGUAGUGGGGGAUAGCCCGGCGAAAGCCGGAUUAAUACCGCAUACGAUCUACGGAUGAAAGCGGGGGACCUUCGGGCCUCGCGCUAUAGGGUUGGCCGAUGGCGGAUUAGCUAGUUGGUGGGGGCAGGUCCAACCAAGGCGAGGAUCAGUAGCAGACCUGAGAGGACGAUCGGCACGACUGGGACGGAGAACCGGCGCAGACGCCUACGGGAGGCAGCAGGAGGGAAGCGUCGGCAAUGGGGGCAACCCUGACCGAGCAACGCCGCGGGAGUGAAGAAGGUCUUCGGAGCGGAAAGCUCGGUUGUAAGUCAAGAACGGGUGGGAGAGUGGAAAGUUCACACUGUGACGGUAGCUUACCAGAAAGAGACGGCUAACUACGUG
rnacentral:rRNA from 1 species